rnacentral:lncRNA from 1 species
AUUUACUAUGAAUUAUUCAGUAUCCACAGUAAAUCGUUCAGUAUCUACUGUGAACUAUUCAGUAAUUGAUUAUACUAGUUAAUAUUUAUUCUGUCUAUCUCUCUCCAGGCCUUUGUCCUCUGCCUGUGGGAAUGCUGUUGGUGGAUUGGUGGGACAGCGUAGGAGAUGGCCAUACUUGGGGCCUAGGGUCAGGGUCAAAGGGCAGGGGUGGGUCAGCAGUGUGGGGAUCACAGGUCGAUGUGGACGAGCCUAAAUACAACCGAGGAACAACAGGCGCACGUGCUGUGCAAAGCAUUAUGGGAAACGUAGUGCACCACUCCUAGAGCAGACCUCUGGGAUCUGAGAUCUUCCAGCUUCCGGAGCCUGUUUUCCUUCACAGGCUCGUUUUUACUGUGUAGAACAACACAGAACUCUCUAGAACUUUUGAAAUAUUAAAUUAUCGCACAACGUCUCGCUUUUUUUAACCAAUCAGAGCGCGCAGAGCAGCAGCAUGCGCCACAUCCACGUGGAGCUGGUGCGAAAGGAGCCGGCGCAGGCCGGGACCGACCCCGGGCUGCAGGGAGCGGGGCCUCGGCCCUUCAGCCAGGAUGAGCUGCGGCUGCAGAAGGUCUACCAGCUGUCCAUCUUCUCUCAGAGGGGGGGCUUCGGGGAGAGCCGGGCAUCUCUCAGGCCGGGCAUGAAGCGCCCCCUGCAGGACGAGGAGGAGGACGGCGGUGACGAUGAUGAAGAGGAGGGGGAGGUGUUGUGUGGGGCGGGUCCUGUGACGGAUCCGCUCUACCUGAGAGAUAUGGAGACGCCGAGGUCGCCAAAGUCACCAAGGUCGCCGAGGUCACCUGCCCUCUCCCCCACGCAUGCACACGCCCCCCCGGUGCCAGGCCGAAAACCCACCCAGCGCAACACCGACCGCCCCGUCCCGGACGCCUUCGCCCCCCUGUCGCCCAAAUCACCACCCAUGCUGGACCCCCACUCGCCCUGGGGCAGCCGACUGUGUCACAGGCGUAACUCUGAAGAGGCACAGCCGAGCAGUGCGUGUCACAAGCGCCCCCUUCUGGAUGAAGAGUCAGAGGGCGAUAAAGAACUCGAUGGGGAUUUUUCAAGAGAUUCAGAGACGUGCCGGUCGCCCCGUUCACCACGCUCACCCCGCUCCCCGUCCCUGUCCCCCACCCACCCACAUACCCACCCGGUCCUGGGCCGAAGACCCGCCCACCGCACCCUGGACUGCCCUGUCCCGGACGCUUUUGCCCCCCUGUCCCCUAAAUCACCCCCCAUGCUGGACCCCAUGCAGUCCCCGCCCCACGCAGUGCCCUCCCCCCGGACUCGGGCGUCCACCGCUGGAGGCGACCCGCCGUGCCCUGUGGACGGGUCCAGAGACGAGGGCUGCAGUACCAGCGUCCUGCCAGUAGAGGCCCUGUUGAGCUCUUCAUGUAAUCUGGAGCUUCAGGGAGCUUUACGGCCGCCGCUGACUCCGGCUGAGGCUGUCCAAUGGGCAGCCAGUAUUGAGUCAUCCCCGCCCCCUCCGGACAGGAAGUCUCCAAGCUCAUCUUCACCCCCUUCCUGGUCUAACGGGACAAGUCCAUCAGAUAAAACAUCCGAUCCCCCCCGGGCGAUUCUGGGGGUGAAGAAGAAGCUGCUGUCCUCCAGUGAUACUGGAGAGUCGUGUUCGGAGGACGAGGGCCCGUCCACGUCCAAGCAAAGCCGCAUGGCCCUGCUGACGCCCGGCCUGGGGCUGGCCGCCGGACGCAGCACCGACUCCAAGGCCGCCCCCUACUGGACACACCUGCUGCCCGCGGCACGAGAGCAGGGCAAGGUGAGCUUAAGCAACACGGUGAAAAACACCAUCAGAAAUCACAAUAUGUCAGUGGUGUGCAGUUAACAUAGCAGGUACCCUUACUGCAACACCCCACCCCAUGUCCACCUACACACAGAUUAAUAUUACAAUAACUACAUAUUCACAUAUUCUCUGUCUUGACUUAGUUAUAUGAAAUUAAUACACAUUAACAGCAUACAAACACAGCUAGAAAAAACAAAAGUACCAUAUACAGUAGACCACAACAAGUUCACUGUAUGCCUACAGUACGCCAGGGCUGCCAAAACAUUAAGUACACCGAAA